AACGAACGCUGGCGGCAGGCUUAACACAUGCAAGUCGAACGAUGUAGCAAUACAUAGUGGCGCACGGGUGAGUAACGCGUGGGAAUAUACCUUGUAGUGGGGAAUAACUCCGGGAAACUGGAGAUAAUACCGCAUACGCCCGAGAGGGGAAAGAUUUAUCGCUAUAAGAUUAGCCCGCGUGAGAUUAGGUAGUUGGUGGGGUAAUGGCCUACCAAGCCUACGAUCUCUAGCUGGUCUGAGAGGAUGAUCAGCCACACUGGAACUGAGACACGGUCCAGACUCCUACGGGAGGCAGCAGUGGGGAAUAUUGGACAAUGGGCGAAAGCCUGAUCCAGCCAUGCCGCGUGAAUGAUGAAGGCCUUAGGGUUGUAAAGUUCUUUCGCCGAUGAAGAUAAUGACGGUAGUCGGCGAAGAAGCCCCGGCUAACUUCGUGCCAGCCGCCGCAGUAA
rnacentral:rRNA from 1 species